UUGACCUCAGAUCAGGUAGGACUACCGCCUGAACUUAAGCAUAUCAAUAAGGCGAGGAACAGAAACCAACAGGGAUUCCCCUAGUAGUGGCGAAUGAAGCGGGAAAAGCUCAAGUUUGAAAUCUGGUGGGUUCAUCCCUUCAGAGUUGUAAGCUGAAGAGGCAUCGACCGACGUUGUCCGGGCCCAAUUUCCUUGGAACAGGAGGUCAUGGAGGGUGAGAACCCCGUCUGUGGCUCGGGUGCCGUGUCCUGGUGCGACGUCCUCGAAGAGUCGGGUUGUUUGGGAAUGCAGCUCAAAAUGGGUGGUAAAUUUCAUCUAAGGCUAAAUAUUGGCAAGAGACCGAUAGCAAACAAGUAGAGUGAUCGAAAGAUGAAAAGUACUUUGAAAAGAGAGUGAAACAGUACGUGAAAUUGUUGAAAGGGAAGCGCUUGGCAUCAGCCCUUGGCCCUCGACCAUCAUCCGGUCUUCUGUCCGGUGCACUGGUCGAGGGUUGGGUCAGCGUCGACUUUGCCCGCCGGAGAAAGGCCUUGGGAAUGUGGCUCUUCACGGAGUGUUAUAACCCUCGGCGUCAUGCGGUGUGGCUGGGUCGAGGUCUGCGG
rnacentral:rRNA from 1 species